ACAGCGCAGACUGUUAUUCAGUGAAGGACAUGUCAUCCGAUGUUUGCCCAGCUUCCACGUCAGCAAGAUGUUCCCCCUGAAUGAUGCUCCUCGAGUCUCAACUAACACAUUCAUCUGAAUGUGGAUGUUUUACAUGUGGAGCAACCACACUAAACGGUAUCAUUUGUAUGCAUUAUUAAAUAAAUAACGGACUAACAAUGAACGGCCGUUGUCUUUUACUCAUAGUACUUCUCGUACAGUCAGCAUGCUAUUACCAGUUGGGGGCAGGCACUCUACCGAGCCACGACCACAUGGUAGAACCUGAGACUACCACAACAGAGGCUGUUACUGAUCCCGUCACCACCACUACGGAACAUGAACCUUAUGAUAAUGAUCAAUGACCAGCUGUAUACAUUCUUCUGAAAGACACUGAUCUCAUUACCAUACACCCCAGUGAUGGAACACAUUGACAUUUUACCACCCCUUUCAAAGGACAUUUUCAGUUUUAAUAAGAAAUAUGUUCACAUUAACAAUGACAUGAUCAAUACAUCAGUGCAGGAAACGCACUUAUAAGUGGGAAGAACACGAAGACAAGAAACUUUUAUCAGGGACAACUGCGUCACAGAAUCACUUUGAAGCACUACAUUUACAAUAAAUAAACGGUUAUAGGGCAACCAUUGACGAAUGUUGUCAACUCAUCGCUUACAUAUCUAUCUUGAAACAAAAUGUGUAUUCUAGAACACAUUAAAAAGUAAAUAAAGAGAUGACUUAUAUGUUUACAUUUGUGUAAUAAAGUUGUGUACUACCAAAGAUCAAUAUUAUGAAUAUGAUGCAAAAUAAAUAAAGCUUCAG